rnacentral:rRNA from 1 species
AUUGAACGCUGGCGGCAGGCUUAACACAUGCAAGUCGAGCGAGCGGCGGACGGGUGAGUAAUGUCUGGGAAACUGCCUGAUGGAGGGGGAUAACUACUGGAAACGGUAGCUAAUACCGCAUACCAUCAGAUGUGCCCAGAUGGGAUUAGCUAGUUGGUGGGGUAAUGGCUCACCUAGGCGACGAUCCCUAGCUGGUCUGAGAGGAUGACCAGGCACACUGGAACUGAUACACGGGCCAGACUCCUCCGGGAGGCAGCAGUGGGGAAUAUUGCACAAUGGGCGCAAGCCGGAUGCAGCCAUGCCGGGUGUAUGAAGAAGGCCUUAGGGUUGUAAAGUACUUUCAGCGGGGAGGCGUUACCCGCAGAAGAAGCACCGGCUAACUCCGUGCCAGCAGCCGCGGUAAUUC